rnacentral:rRNA from 1 species
CCUACGGGAGGCAGCAGUGGGGAAUUUUCCGCAAUGGGCGAAAGCCUGACGGAGCAAUACCGCGUGAGGGAAGACUGCCUAUGGGUUGUAAACCUCUUUUUUCAGGGAGGAAUAAAAUGACGUGUACCUGAAGAAUAAGCAUCGGCUAACUCCGUGCCAGCAGCCGCGGUAAGACGGAGGAUGCAAGUGUUAUCCGGAAUCACUGGGCGUAAAGCGUCUGUAGGUGGUUUAAUAAGUCAACUGUUAAAUCUUGAGGCUCAACUUCAAAAUCGCAGUCGAAACUAUUAGACUAGAGCAUAGUAGGGGUAAAGGGAAUUUCCAGUGGAGCGGUGAAAUGCGUAGAUAUUGGAAAGAACACCGGUGGCGAAAGCACUUUACUGGGCUAUUACUAACACUCAGAGACGAAAGCUAGGGUAGCAAAUGGGAUUAGAUACCCCAGUAGUCCUAGCCGUAAACUAUGGAUACUAGAUGUUGAACAGAUCGACCUGUGCAGUAUCAAAGCUAACGCGUUAAGUAUCCCGCCUGGGGAGUACGCACGCAAGUGUGAAACUCAAAGGAAUUGACGG